CGACUUAAACACGCAUCUUCACGGUCACCUAAAAAUAAUAUACGUAUCACACGACCUUGAAUAGGUGGAGGACUUUGAUUGGGUAAAUGGACUUUCAGCUGAUUUUUAAUUUUCCAUACCAACAGCGAAAUAACUUGUGCGCAAUCUUACAACGAAACAAAAAUCCGCACUAUAUAAAGUGUUGGCUGUCACUUCGAUUUUCAAGCAGUCAUCGCUAAUUCUCCAAUCCAAUCCUCCAAGCAUCGCCCCCAUGUAGCACUCGAUUGCCACGGUCUUUGUCUCCUUGGCGGCCUACAUUUUAAUGGCCAAUGCACAGCAACCGACAAGCUGGACCAACCCAUACUUUUACUACCAUUACAACACCCAACUGGACCUGCCUACGUAGAAAGUCUCGGCCGAUGAAAAAGCAGGAAAUUAGCAGCAGCUAUUCACUAAUUACAACGAUCACAGUAUGCAAAACACGCUAGGAUCUCAUGUCGUACUGCUAACAACAUGCCUGAGGGAUCUGAAAACUACGAAAGCCGAUUUGGUUCACACACAUUCCGAGGUCGAAAAUGUUAAAAAGAAAUUGAAUAAGCUGAAA